rnacentral:lncRNA from 1 species
AAAAAACAAAACAAAAAGGGGGGGAAAGAAAAAGACAGCGCCGAAGGAAACUUUGUUACAACAUGGAGUUCCCUCUUUGCGAUUUUCUGAUACAAACAUGGAGCCUAGGCGCCGUUUCAAGUUACCCCUUAAAAGGGCGAUGGUUGCAGGCUGCCCGGGAGAGCUACGGACGGCGCCAAUGUCUGUCGCCACUGCCAUCCUAAAGAGAAGGCAGGCUGCCGCUACAGUAUAUGCACCGCUCCGGAUUAAGCGCCAGAGGAAAGAAAUGGAAAGCGAUGCGACGCCGCCUCCUCCAAGAGACUCAAGUCGAGGUCCAAGUAACGGGCCUGGAUAAAAACUGGAUGUUCCUAUACUGACUUUCGAUCUUCUGCAAAGCUCCGUUUUUCUCAGAUCACGGAAGGACACGGCUGAAAACAAACGUGUAGAUGAGCCUGUGUGUGGCUGUGUGUGCGCCCCAGGGUACCAACGCGCAUCUGAUCUGAGAAUGGCAUCAUUUGUUUUUGUCGUGCACGGUGCUACGCGGGCAGGCUUGAGUUCUUCUGUGCACAAACAAAGGCUNAGUUUGCUUGGGUUUUGUAGAUCGUGUCCACAUGCCCUUUUCUAUGCUAAGCUAUCCAGGGAGGUAGAGGACACACACCUUUGGGUGUGACAUAAUUAUAACUCUUCUAGGUAUCUCCAGGGAUUUUUUUUUCCUCUUUAAUUACACAUUGGCUGAACCACAGUCCUAAUUUUUUCCGUUUACAAUAAACCGUUUAUCUCUUGUAGCA